rnacentral:rRNA from 1 species
AACGAACGCUGGCGGCAUGCCUAACACAUGCAAGUCGAACGAGACCUUCGGGUCUAGUGGCGCACGGGUGCGUAACGCGUGGGAACCUGCCCUUAGGUUCGGAAUAACUCCCCGAAAGGGGUGCUAAUACCGGAUAAUGUCUUCGGACCAAAGAUUUAUCGCCUUUGGAUGGGCCCGCGUUGGAUUAGCUAGUUGGUAGGGUAAAAGCCUACCAAGGCGACGAUCCAUAGCUGGUCUGAGAGGAUGAUCAGCCACACUGGGACUGAGACACGGCCCAGACUCCUACGGGAGGCAGCAGUGGGGAAUAUUGGACAAUGGGCGAAAGCCUGAUCCAGCAAUGCCGCGUGAGUGAUGAAGGCCUUAGGGUUGUAAACCGCUUUCGCCUGUGACGAAGCGUGAGUGACGGUAAUGGGUAAAGAAGCACCGGCUAACUACGUG